UUUAGUAUAUUCAGUUAAAAGAAUUUAUAUUUUCUUUUAUUAAAUUGUUAAAUAGGUUUCAGUUACUGGUCAGUUGGUUCUAGACCAUCCUGGUCAAUUGGUUCUAGACCAUCCUGGUCAGUUGGUUCUAGACCAUUCUGGUCAAUGUGCAAUCGGCACAUGUAGAUAGGAAAAUUCGGAUGUACUAGAAUUGAUCAAAUAACUCCUGUGUAGCAAAAUUUCUGCAUCACAAAUCUCCAAACUACAGUAUUAGUUUUUAACAUUCUUUAUUUUAAACAUUACAAUAUCUAUUUAAUUUUAAGAUUUAUUACCGGGAUCAGACAAUUCUGUAUUGAGCAAAUAAAACAUUACAUGUAUUAGAUGUACAAAUUAAUACUAAAUGUACAUUAAUGUAAAUAAUACAAAAAAACAAUUUCAUUUGCUUAUUAUAAAAAAUAUAAUUUGAUAACAUGUUUUGGGUACAGAAGUCCAUUGUAAAUUUUUAGAAUACUAGUUAUAAGGAAUACAAAGUAUUUUGUAUUAUUAUGAAAAUAUUACUAAAGUUGAUUUUAUUAACUGACCAAAGUGCCUAAAAAUAGUUGUAGCAAAACUAAUUGUGAUUUAUUAGAUAAUAAGUUGUAUUUCUGAGUUUAUACAAAUAUAUUUGCAAGAAACAUAAAUACUUGAAAAUAAUA